rnacentral:rRNA from 1 species
AUUGAACGCUGGCGGCAGGCCUAACACAUGCAAGUCGAACGAGUGGCGGACGGGUGAGUAAUGUCUGGGAAACUGCCUGAUGGAGGGGGAUAACUACUUGAAACGGUAGCUAAUACCGCAUACCAUCAGAUGUGCCCAGAUGGGCUUAGCUAGUUGGUGGGGUAACGGCUCACCAAGGCGACGAUCCCUCACUGGUCUGAGAGGAUGACCAGCAACACUGGAACUGAGACACGGUCAAGACUCGUAAGGGAGGCAGCAUUGGGGAAUAUUGCACAAUGGGCGAAAGCCUGAUGCAGCUAUGCCGCGUGUAUGAAGAAGGCAUUCGGGUUGUAAAGUACUUUCAGCGGGGAGGCGUUACCCGCAGAAGAAGCACCGGCUAACUCCGUGCCAGCAGCCGCGGUAAUAC